UACGAAGGGUGCUAGCGUUGUUCGGAAUUACUGGGCGUAAAGCGUGCGCAGGCGGCUUUUCAAGUCAGGGGUGAAAUACCCGGGCUCAACCCGGGAACUGCCUUUGAAACUGUAAAGCUAGAGACUCGGAGGGGUUGGCGGAAUUCCUAAUGUAGCGGUGAAAUGCGUAGAUAUUAGGAGGAACACCAGUGGCGAAGGCGGCCAACUAGACGAGUACUGACGCUCAUGCACGAAAGCGUGGGGAUCAAACAGG
rnacentral:rRNA from 1 species